UUUUAUUUUAAACAAAUAAUUUGAAGUAUUUUGCCUGUCUUCCCGUAAUAUUUACACACAUGUAAAUAAAAAAAUACUUGAGGCAUUCAUAAAAAUUCAGGUUCUACAAAACAAUAUUGUAGUAAUAGAUACUUUUUUUUUCUAAGGUUGUCUUUCUUUUGUCUUAAUCUUUAGGACGACUUGUACACCUCAUAACUUUCAUAAACUUGUAAUGUUAUACAAUGUUUUUGUUUUGAAAGUAAUUGACAAGUAUUAGUUUACUGUAUGUUAAGGUGAAGGAAAAAACAAUUGUUUAUAUAAGGAACCAAAAGUAUCUGUCUUCCCUCGAUAAUGAAGAUUCAUCUUUAUUGUUAAAAUAAACUUGUAGUAUUUGCUUUUAUCAUAAAUCUUAAAUUUUUAUGUAACAAGUAUUAU
rnacentral:lncRNA from 1 species